rnacentral:rRNA from 1 species
UAUUGAACGCUGGCGGCGGGCCUAACACAUGCAAGUCGAACGGUAACAGAAAGCAGCUUGCUGCUUUGCUGACGAGUGGCGGACGGGUGAGUAAUGUCUGGGAAACUGCCUGAUGGAGGGGGAUAACUACUGGAAACGGUAGCUAAUACCGCAUAACGUCGCAAGACCAAAGAGGGGGACCUUCGGGCCUCUUGCCAUCGGAUGUGCCCAGAUGGGAUUAGCUAGUAGGUGGGGUAAAGGCUCACCUAGGCGACGAUCCCUAGCUGGUCUGAGAGGAUGACCAGCCACACUGGAACUGAGACACGGUCCAGACUCCUACGGGAGGCAGCAGUGGGGAAUAUUGCACAAUGGGCGCAAGCCUGAUGCAGCCAUGCCGCGUGUAUGAAGAAGGCCUUCGGGUUGUAAAGUACUUUCAGCGGGGAGGAAGGGAGUAAAGUUAAUACCUUUGCUCAUUGACGUUACCCGCAGAAGAAGCACCGGCUAACUCCGUGCCAGCAGCCGCGGUAAUACGGAGGGUGCAAGCGUUAAUCGGAAUUACUGGGCGUAAAGCGCACGCAGGCGGUUUGUUAAGUCAGAUGUGAAAUCCCCGGGCUCAACCUGGGAACUGCAUCUGAUACUGGCAAGCUUGAGUCUCGUAGAGGGGGGUAGAAUUCCAGGUGUAGCGGUGAAAUGCGUAGAGAUCUGGAGGAAUACCGGUGGCGAAGGCGGCCCCCUGGACGAAGACUGACGCUCAGGUGCGAAAGCGUGGGGAGCGAACAGGAUUAGAUACCCUGGUAGUCCACGCCGUAAACGAUGUCGACUUGGAGGUUGUGCCCUUGAGGCGUGGCUUCCGGAGCUAACGCGUUAAGUCGACCGCCUGGGGAGUACGGCCGCAAGGUUAAAACUCAAAUGAAUUGACGGGGGCCCGCACAAGCGGUGGAGCAUGUGGUUUAAUUCGAUGCAACGCGAAGAACCUUACCUGGUCUUGACAUCCACGGAAGUUUUCAGAGAUGAGAAUGUGCCUUCGGGAACCGUGAGACAGGUGCUGCAUGGCUGUCGUCAGCUCGUGUUGUGAAAUGUUGGGUUAAGUCCCGCAACGAGCGCAACCCUUAUCCUUUGUUGCCAGCGGUCCGGCCGGGAACUCAAAGGAGACUGCCAGUGAUAAACUGGAGGAAGGUGGGGAUGACGUCAAGUCAUCAUGGCCCUUACGACCAGGGCUACACACGUGCUACAAUGGCGCAUACAAAGAGAAGCGACCUCGCGAGAGCAAGCGGACCUCAUAAAGUGCGUCGUAGUCCGGAUUGGAGUCUGCAACUCGACUCCAUGAAGUCGGAAUCGCUAGUAAUCGUGGAUCAGAAUGCCACGGUGAAUACGUUCCCGGGCCUUGUACACACCGCCCGUCACGCCAUGGGAGUGGGUUGCAAAAGAAGUAGGUAGCUUAACCUUCGGGAGGGCGCUUACCACUUUG